rnacentral:rRNA from 1 species
UUCCUUUGAGUUUCAGCCUUGCGACCAUACUCCCCAGGCGGAGCACUUAACGCUUUCGCUACGGCCGAGAGGAUGUGACCCCCUCAACCUAGUGCUCAUCGUUUACGGCUAGGACUACCGGGGUAUCUAAUCCCGUUCGCUACCCUAGCUUUCGUGCCUCAGCGUCAGAAAAGACCCAGUGAUGCGCUUUCGCCACCGGUGUUCCCUAUGAUAUCAACGCAUUUCACCGCUCCACCAUAAGUUCCCAUCACCCCUAUCUUCCUCGAGCUUGGGGGUUUGAGACGCUGUUCCACGGUUGAGCCGUGGGCUUUCACAUCUCACCUACCAAGCCGCCUACGCACGCUUUAAGCCCAGUGAUACCGAAUAACGUUUGGACGGUUCGUCUUACCGCGGCUGCUGGCACGAACUUAGCCCGUCCUUCCUCUGAAAAUCGGUCAAACAUAAGAGAGAACCCUUAUGCAUUUCCUCCUAACUGACAGCGGUUUACAACCCGAGGGCCUUCAUCCCGCACGCGGCGUCGCUCGGUCAGACUUUCGUCCAUUGCCGA